UACGAAGGGGGGCUAGCGUUGCUCGGAAUCACUGGGCGUAAAGCGCACGUAGGCGGAUUGUUAAGUCAGGGGUGAAAUCCUGGAGCUCAACUCCAGAACUGCCUUUGAUACUGGCGAUCUUGAGUUCGGGAGAGGUGAGUGGAACUGCGAGUGUAGAGGUGAAAUUCGUAGAUAUUCGCAAGAACACCAGUGGCGAAGGCGGCUC
rnacentral:rRNA from 1 species